UACGUAGGGCGCAAGCGUUAUCCGGAAUUAUUGGGCGUAAAGAGCUCGUAGGCGGUUUGUCGCGUCUGCCGUGAAAGUCCGGGGCUCAACUCCGGAUCUGCGGUGGGUACGGGCAGACUAGAGUGAUGUAGGGGAGACUGGAAUUCCUGGUGUAGCGGUGAAAUGCGCAGAUAUCAGGAGGAACACCGAUGGCGAAGGCGGCUCUCUGGGACGGUACUGACGCUGAGACGCGAAAGCGUGGGGAGCAAACAGG
rnacentral:rRNA from 1 species